CAGUAGCCGCGGUAAUACAGAGGGUGCAAGCGUUAAUCGGAAUUACUGGGCGUAAAGCGCGCGUAGGUGGUUUGUUAAGUUGGAUGUGAAAUCCCCGGGCUCAACCUGGGAACUGCAUCCAAAACUGGCAAGCUAGAGUAUGGUAGAGGGUGGUGGAAUUUCCUGUGUAGCGGUGAAAUGCGUAGAUAUAGGAAGGAACACCAGUGGCGAAGGCGACCACCUGGACUGAUACUGACACUGAGAGACGAAAGCUAGGGGAGCAAAUGGGAUUAGAUACCCCAGUAGUCCCUGUCUCUUAUAC
rnacentral:rRNA from 1 species